CAAAUGCUGCUGUAGGAGAAAUUGGCGAUGAAGACAUCAAUGAGGAGAGCCAAGAUUCCCCAGGGAUGGGACAAGUUUCGGGGCAAAGCCUGCCAUCCACGAACAAUCAGCAGAAUAACCAAGAGGAGUCUUCUCAAGCUGAAUCCUCAGGAAACAACAGGGUCACAAUCCAAAACGACUGGACUCACAGUUCAGCACCACCACCA